CUUUUGCAAGAGGCUUUAGUCAGAAUGUUGGCAAUACCAGAUGAGAGUGACAGCCCCGCAGAGUCACUAAAGCUGCAUGAUGAAACGGGACUUCACCGGGCUGGGCCAGAGACACAUGGGUGUGAAAUCCCUCCCAAGAUCUGUUUCUUCAUCUGGAAAACAAAGGAAUUGAAAAUAGCUCUAACUCUCCAGAGGAAGUGUGAGAAGAACUGGUGUUGGGCAUUACAUAUAAUUCAGGCAGGAAUCCUGAAGUCCAGAGAGAAGGCAUUUGCCAAAGGUCUCCCAAGAAGCUGAUCAGAGAGCAGAAUUUAGAAAACUUGGGAUCCAGGCCCCUAAUCUAGGGCCACCUGCAGACUGCCCAAAGAGCCUCCCGUUUAGAGACAGAAGUGUCUUCGCACUGCAGUUUUGCUCACCCUCUCUCCCCCUGUCCUCCAGGCCCCGAGGCUGCAUAUAUUCCAUUCACAGACAAUUACCCUGAGGCCUAUCACUGGAGCAGUGCCCUAGAGCCUUGCCACCAUCCCUUUCCACCUCUUCCUUCCCUCAGAAGCCUUUCCUGCCUCCAGUUGUACUUGGAAGCAGGAUGUCAGAAUUGAAGGGUCUAGUUCCAACACUUUAGAGCUGUGGGAACAUGGGCAAGUCACUUCACCUCUCGGAACUUGUUUCCUGUUUUGUAAAAUGGGGCUAUAACAUUUACCUUCAGGGGUUAUUGCGUGGAUGAGAGCUAAUGCAUAUGAGUCUCUUAACCAGGCUUGAUGAAGAUUAGGUGCUCAAUAAACAGUAAUGAUCAUUUAAAUGGUAUGAACUGUGGUGUUGGAGAAGACGUAUGAGAGUCCCUUGGAUUGCAAGGAGAUCAAACCAGUCAAUCCUAAAGGAAG